ACCGGGCACGGCCCUGCUCCUCCCUCCGUGCCUGGCUUUUAGGAUGUAUUGACCGUGUUCAAUCACAUGUCACCAAAAAGGGAUGGCAGCUGCGAGGUCACACAUUUCCUAUAGGAAAAAGCGGACUCAGGGAUGAAUGGAGCAUCAACCAGGUUAUCCAGAGGACAUGUGAGGAAGACCUUCAGCCUUCCUCCUAGAAGACCCCUGAAGAGACCAGAAGACCGCAUAGCAACAAUGGGAGCACGCGCUGUGCAGUAGAGUGAUGUAGAUUUCAAGAAUGAAAAAUGGGAGGAGAUUUAUGGAACUAUUGAUGAAUACGUAUUAGCACACAGUAUAUACGUUGUGUUUGGAUCCUUCGUACGGGAGGCAGGGUAGAAAGUCCUCCCCAUACCCCGGUUGGUUUUGCUUUAUCCGCACCACUGCCAAAUUUCUUUUUGUAACUACUGAAUUAUAUUUGAUUGCAUUAUUAUUUUAUGCCUCAAUUAAAAUUGCUGCUAAAUU